GACGAACGCUGGCGGCGUGCCUAAUACAUGCAAGUCGAGCGAAUCAAUAGGAGCUUGCUCCUGUUGGUUAGCGGCGGACGGGUGAGUAACACGUGGGCAACCUGCCUGUAAGACUGGGAUAACACCGGGAAACCGGUGCUAAUACCGGAUAAUCCUUUUCCUCUCAUGAGGAAAAGCUGAAAGUCGGUUUCGGCUGACACUUACAGAUGGGCCCGCGGCGCAUUAGCUAGUUGGUGAGGUAACGGCUCACCAAGGCGACGAUGCGUAGCCGACCGGAGAGGGUGAUCGGCCAAACUGGGACGGAGACACGGCCCAGACUCCUACGGGGGGAAGCAGUAGGGAAUCGUCCACAAUGGACGAAAGUCUGAUGGAGCAACGCCGCGUGAGCGAUGAAGGCCUUCGGGUCGUAAAGCUCUGUUGUUAGGGAAGAACAAGUACCGGAGUAACUGCCGGUACCUUGACGGUACCUAACCAGAAAGCCACGGCUAACUACGUGCCAGCAGCCGCCGUAACAC
rnacentral:rRNA from 1 species